rnacentral:lncRNA from 12 species
GGGAGGGAGGGGACGAACAGCCAGGGCAGGGUGGGGACAGAGCCCUGGAAAGGGACACGGGGGGAGCGCGUGGAGAUAGAAAAAUUGUCAGGGAGAAAAACCCGAAAUCAGCCCAAAAAAACGAACCGAGGGUCACCGCCCAGGGCCCGGGGGUGUCCCCAAGUCUGUCCCGCCAGGGGGACGCGGUACCGAGGGCGGGGGUGGUGACCCAGGGGGUGACACGGUGGCACGGCCCGGGGCAGGGCUGGGGGACAGCGGUGUCGCCAGGGCGGGGCCGGUGCCAGGGUGACACCCCUGUCCCCAGGACAGGUGACAGCGACAAUCCUGUCCCCACAGCUGGGCGCCAGUGCCAGUGUGAGUCCCCAAGGUGGACACUGGCACAGGGGUGACACGGCUGUCCCCAGGACAAUGCUGGGGUGACACUGCUGUCCCCAGGGCACGUACCAGUGUGGCAAUCCUGUCCCCAAGGUGAGUCCCAGUGCCAGUGUGUCAGUCCUCAAGGUGGGCACUGGCGCUGGGGUGACACUGCUGUCCCCAAGCUGGGCACUGGGGUGACACUGCUGUCCUCAGGGCAGGUACCAGCAUUGCAAUCCUGUCCCCAAGCUGGGUGCUGAUGCCAGGAGUCCGUGUCCAGCCGGGUACCAGUGCCAGGUGUCCAUCCCAGCCAGGUAUCAAUGCCAGGUGUCCAUCCCAGCCAGGUACCAAUGCCAGGUGUCCAUCCCAGCUGGGUACCAAUGCCAGGUGUCCAUCCCAGCCAGGUACCAAUGCCAGGUGUCCAUCCUCAGCCGGGUACCGGUGCCAGGUGUCCAUCCCAGCCAGGUACCAAUGCCAGGUGUCCAUCCCAGCCGGGUACCGGUGCCAUGCCGUGCCGUGCCCGCACCGCGCCGGCCCCCGGAGCCGAGGAAGGCGCCGCUCACACCGACGACUCCUCGGGGUUGGAGUCGGGCAGGGGCUGGCGCUGCUGCAGCUUGCGCCGCAGCUCCUCGGCCAGGUCGGCGCAGGCCGGGCGCUCCUCGCUGCCCAGCGCCAGCCGGAUGUAGGGGGGGGGGGGGGGGGGGGGGGGGGGGGGGGGGGGGGGGGGGGGGGGGGGGGGGGGGGGGGGGGGGGGGGGG